rnacentral:rRNA from 1 species
CGUAGGGUGCGAGCGUUGUCCGAAGUUACUGGGCGUAAAGAGCGCGUAGGCUGGCCCUUAAGUGGGGGGUGAAAGGUUGGGGCUCAACCCCAACACUGCCUUUCAUACUGGGGGCCUUGAGUGCGGGAGAGGCGAGUGGAAUGGUCGGUGUAGCGGUGAAAUGCGUAGAUAUCGAUCGGAACACCCAUGGCGAAGGCAGCUCGCUGGCCUGCAACUGACGCUGAGGCGCGAAAGCGUGGGGAGCAAACAGG